GAUGAACGCUGGCGGCGUGCCUAAUACAUGCAAGUCGAGCGAACGGACGAGAAGCUUGCUUCUCUGAUGUUAGCGGCGGACGGGUGAGUAACACGUGGAUAACCUACCUUUAAGACUGGGACAACUUCGGGAAACCGGAGCUAAUACCGGAUAAUAUUUUGAACCGCAUGGUUCAAAAGUGAAAGACGGUCUUGCUGUCCCUUAUAGAUGGAUCCGCGCUUCAUUAGCUAGUUGGUAAGGUACCGGCUUACCAAGGCAACGAUGCAUAGCCGACCUGAAUGGGUGAUCGGCCACACUGGAACUGAGGCACGGUCCAGACUCCUACGGGGAGCAGCAGUAGAGAAUCUUCCGCGAUGGGCGAAAGCCUGACAGAGCAACGCCGCGUGAGUGAUGAAGGUCUUCGGAUCGUAAAACUCUGUUGUUAGGGAAAAACAAAUGUGUAAGUAACUGUGCACAUCUUGACGGUACCUAAUCAGAAAGCCACGGCUAACUACGUG
rnacentral:rRNA from 1 species